AGAUUGAACGCUGGCGGCAGGCCUAACACAUGCAAGUCGAGCGGCAGCACGGGUACUUGUACCUGGUGGCGAGUGGCGGACGGGUGAGUAAUGCCUAGGAAUCUGCCUGGUAGUGGGGGAUAACGCUCGGAAACGGACGCUAAUACCGCAUACGUCCUACGGGAGAAAGCAGGGGACCUUCGGGCCUUGCGCUAUCAGAUGAGCCUAGGUCGGAUUAGCUAGUUGGUGGGGUAAUGGCUCGACCAAGGCGUACGAUCCGUAACUGGCCUGAGAGGAUGAUCAGUCACACUGGAACUGAGACACGGUCCAGACUCGUACGGGAGGCAGCAGGUGGGAAUAGUUGGAACAAGUGGGACGAAAGCCUGACUCCAGCCAGUGCCGCGUGUGUAGGAA
rnacentral:rRNA from 1 species